rnacentral:tRNA from 1 species
GAAGUGUUAGCUUAAGUUUAAAGUAUCGAACUUUUAAUUCGGUGAUUCUGCACUUUA